AGGAGAGUUUUUUAUAAACACUGAUGCGUAACGACAUUGAGAAGGAGGCUGCAUUAUGUAACCUUGAGGAGGAAAGCUGGAUUUGAGCACGCCGCAAUUAAGCCCGUAUUGUAAAUAACUGCAGGAGAGCUUGUGGGAGCACCCGAGUGCUGGACGCUUCUUCAAAACACAGAUGGAUUUUCCAUUCAUGGUUUACACUUUGGACUGUGCUGCUGAGCCCCUGAGAGAUGGCUGGUGGUCUGGGGCUGAGUGAGGAUAUCACCAGAGGAAUCUAAGGAGGAUGCCUGGGCUGAUCUGAAGGAGUCUGUCCUCAAGAUGGAGAAGUUCAAUAUCGUGUCCUCCUAGCUUAUGUACACCUACAUGUAUAUAUGUGUGUGUAUAUAUAUAUAUACACACACUUAUUUCUCCUCCUCCAGUAAGCAUC